rnacentral:rRNA from 1 species
UACGUAGGGUGCAAGCGUUGUCCGGAAUUAUUGGGCGUAAAGGGCUCGUAGGCGGUUUGUCGCGUCGGGAGUGAAAACUCAGGGCUUAACCCUGAGCCUGCUUCCGAUACGGGCAGACUAGAGGUAUGCAGGGGAGAAUGGAAUUCCUGGUGUAGCGGUGAAAUGCGCAGAUAUCAGGAGGAACACCGGUGGCGAAGGCGGGUCUCUGGGCCGAUACUGACGCUGAGGAGCGAAAAGCGUGGGGGAGCGAACAGG